rnacentral:rRNA from 1 species
AACGAACGCUGGCGGCAUGCCUAACACAUGCAAGUCGAACGAGACCUUCGGGUCUAGUGGCGCACGGGUGCGUAACGCGUGGGAACCUGCCCUUAGGUUCGGAAUAACUCCCCGAAAGGGGUGCUAAUACCGGAUAAUGUCUUCGGACCAAAGAUUUAUCGCCUUUGGAUGGGCCCGCGUUGGAUUAGCUAGUUGGUAGGGUAAAAGCCUACCAAGGCGACGAUCCAUAGCUGGUCUGAGAGGAUGAUCAGCCACACUGGGACUGAGACACGGCCCAGACUCCUACGGGAAGCAGCAGCAGGGAAUAUUGGACAAUGGGCGAAAGCCUGAUCCAGCAAUGCCGCGUGAGUGAUGAAGGCCUUAGGGUUGUAAAGCUCUUUUACCCGGGAUGAUAAUGACAGUACCGGGAGAAUAAGCUCCGGCUAACUCCGUG